AGUUUCACUUUCUGAAGGAUAACGAACAAAUCCUCAUGGUGAACGAACACAGAAACUCUUUCUGUCUUGGCUACUGUUUCUGUCUUGACUACAAUCAUGAACCAUAAACAAACCAUCAAGGCAAAAGUGCUCAUACAUAUGAUUUUCAUACUUUAUAUAUAAAUUCCAUAUAAUUCCCACAUCCUGGAAUGGGGUUCUUAUGGGCAUCCACAUGUCCUCCUUUAAUGUAUGUAACAGAGCCAUUAGUUACAGCCUGGGUCAGUAAAAAUCUAAACAUAGGGCGUUUAAUCAUUGUUCAAUUCUCUCAUCACUGCCAGGAGCACAGCAUGUACUUCUGCCCACUGAGCUGAUUUAGUCUUAACCUUCCUGAACUACUCCUGCCAUGCGCUGGUCUUGAGCAGGUUUCCAAACAGGAUAUUGUCCGUUCAUCUUGGAACUGCCAUCUGUAAUCCCAGGAGCUCUUUGCUGUUCAGGUGAGACCUAUUCACAGGGCACAGCCCAUGUAGCGGUUCUGGCAGCUCAUCGGGGGCUCCAGGUUGGUCCUGGACAAAGAGGCUGGUUGCUAGUGGACACAGUGUGGGCCUCCUCAUACCCUUGCCACUGCCACCUGUAUGAACCAUUACCUUUUUAAUAUGGAAGUGUGGGCCCUGCCUGCCUUAUGAGAAUGUUUCUCUGGUAUCAUCCAAGACAAGCAUCUCCGGCUCCAAGACUUACGUCCUUUAGUCCUUGAGGAGGUCUCAGUGCCCAAGGCCAGGCUGAUGAUUCUAGUGGGUACCAGGCAGCAGUGUCUGGGAAGAGGGGCUCAUGGGCUUUUGCCACAAUCUCCAGUCUGUGUGGGUACAGGUGGCAGAUUCUUCCAAAAUAUGUCUGAGUGGGGGUCUUAAUGGCCCAGAGGUGUCCAGAGUUCAACUACCUUUUUUUUUACUCACAAUAUUUCUUGCUUUUGUUAAGGUCCCACUCAAAUACAGCUCUCAUUUGUGUAGUCUUAUAGAUGCAAUAUAACAGUAUUCCCAGAUGUAAAAUAGGAAUCGUCCAAAAUCCAAAAUACACCAACCAAGUGCUAGGUGUCUUGUUUGGAUGUAGGGGUGGGUAGUGACAGCAGUUUACUGUUAGUCACUUGUGGAAUAUCCCAGGUGCCUUCUGCCCACAUUAUUCCUAUGUUCACUGUUGAGUAGGACCUCGGGCCUUUGCUGCUUUUAUUACUGAGCCUUGCUUGGUCAUAUGUGUCACUACCAUGUUCAAAUCAGUCCUAACUGGCUCUUAUGCUUCUUAUAUUAUAAUAUCAUCCACAUACUGUAUCACACUGGAGACGUGCAUCAAGUCCAAAUCCCUCCUGACCAAGUUGUAGUCAGGAGAUGGUGGGUUCAGGUAACUUUGACCACAGUAAACAUAAACUGAGAUUCUUCCGACAUGAAGGAAAAUUUGGGUUGGCUCUUCUAGAGAUGGAGAUGGAGAAGAAAGCAUUUGCAAGUUCAGUCCCUGAAUACCAGCCGCCUUCAGUCUGCUGUGUUUUGUGUAUGGUUUAGGGCACUUUUGGAAUUGCUGAGGCUUUGAGUGGUACAGUGUUCUUUAAACCACAAGUCUGCUAUCGGUGAGCCAUUGGCCCUUUCUUAGUCCACGCAGGGCUAUUGUACAGUGAAUUCUUGGUCACCGGCACUCUAGCUUCUAGCAUGUCAGUAAUUAAAGCAGGUAUUUAGUGAUUCAAGUUCACCACCAGUGUGGUCUCAGGUAGAGGGGGAAGGGGACCAAGGAGCAUUAUGAUUAGGACACAUAACGAGGUAGGUCUUGGAGGAAGGCAGCAGAGCAUGGAGAAGACUGACUAGCAUCUUACUGUGCUGACUGACUGCAUUGGGGGUGAGGACUUGAUAGUACAGGUAAAUGUUGAAACCACAGUGUUCACGUGAAACCUUUGUAAGGUUGUAUGUCAAUGAUACUUUAAUAAAAAAAAAAACAGGUUUUGAAAUCACACUAUUGCACUCCCAAACCGAGUUCUAGGAAAGGUCCUUCCCAUCCCCCCAGCCAUUUAACUAACCCUUGUUGAGAUGGCCUCAGGUCCCCGGUUGGGGGUGCGGCCAGAGACCCCACCCCUCUUGUCAGUCAGACUGAAUAAACCCGCGUGACCAGCGCCCUGGUGGGUUCAUGCUCACGUUUUCAUUGUAAUCUUGACCUUCCUACUUUUUUAAUUCCUCCAAACUGGAGUAGAGUAGACUUCCUUGGGCCUCUGUGAUGUUGGGGGGCACAUCAGGAGUCCCCACUGGCUCACCCAGUCUCCUGUAGUGCUGCAUUAACACCUUUGCUUCAAAGCCAUCACUCUGCUUCUUUUGUCCUAUUUUUCAAUAACCGUCUGAAGGCUUUUAUGCCAAGUCUCUUGACUCUCCCCAUUUUCUUUAAUUACAUUAAUGCUGUUGAUAUGGGUAGACCCUCUCAGGGAAGCUAACAGAUCCGAUAAGGCUUCUCAAACUGGUUUGGUAACGGUAACUUUACAUGGGGUGCCUCCGUAACAGGCCCCCUUGAUCACAGCAUUCGCCAUCACCUGAGCGACAGGAAUAUGCAGUGGGUGAGUGUUUUGGUCAUGAAGCCAAUCCCACGUGGCCUGCCUACGGAGAAUAUCAGCCGCCUCAUCCGGGUGUUCAUUUGGCCUUUUGGGGGGGAGUUGGGCAGCCCUCCUCCACAGGAUAAACAGACCUUACAGUGGCUUUUAUGCCGUCCACCAGCUGGCUGUUCUCAGGAGUAACGUCCCAUGUGUCUGGAUGACAGCCAGCUGUGACUGCCCAGUAGUGAGCGAUGCGUCCUGCAUCAGCCCAAGCACGCUUGCUCUCUGCAGCAUUUGAAACCAAAGCCACAGACCCCAAGGGGUUAUUCUCACAGUCCACUUUAGGACAGGUUCUGCUGUCAGUGCUGGCAGUGCUGAUCCACACUGCGUCCACUGUUCUCGGUCACCUCCUGGCGUUCGCCUCCCCCCGAAUUAACUGUCGUCUUUGUGGCCAGAGGAGUCCGAGGCACUUCCUCAUGCUCUGUGUGAGAUUCGCAUUUCUGGGUGGCAUUUGGGCUAAUGGCCAAAGUUCAGGUUGAACCAAUUCGAAGCCUGGUUCAGCAUCAAACCCUGACUCGGCUCUUGGAUUUAUUUUCAGUUUGACUAUUGCAGAUAACCAGGGAAUGGUGUAUUUCACUUACUUCAGAUUAGUUUGAAUUUCAUUACAUACCCAGUGAGCCAACUCCUUAGGAAUUCUGUCCACUGCCAUUUUUAAAUUUCACUGGUAACUUUUACCAUUAGUGAUUGAUGGCAGUACAGCAGCUCUUUCAUACCAAUCAUGACUAGGUAGCCAUCAAGGCAUUAAUGUUCCCGUAUCUCCUGACAUUUCAUUCUUUCUCUAUAGAAGCCACGUAUUUCCGUGAGCCUGCAUUGGUCCAGCAAAUCCCGCUUCUCUGACAGCAAAUAGGACAGGGUACCUUAACUCCUCUUGGGUGUCUGGACCAAAUACCAGCGUGUCUUGGGGGGCAGAGAGUAGGGUAUUCCCACAUACACAAGACCUAGAAAUUCUCAAAUACCAGCAGGGGGUAUGAUAAUUGUGAUACUGUGUGCCUGGAGACAGCACCAGAUCAAUCAGGUCAAAGGCUCCAUCCCACAAGACUGCCCUCCACACACCCACCCCCACUGCACAUGCCAAUUGUAAGACCCAGAUAGUCCCAUGUGCUUCCGACCUACCAGCUACAGAUUGGAGAUUCCCAUGCCUUCCCCCUAGGGAUCAAUUAAUUUCCUAUAGUGGCUCACAGAAUUCCGUUUGGGUCGGGUUUACACAUUUGUGGGAUGCUUACCAGAGACAGAGUGGCUGGUCAGUCAUGGGACUGCCAGUCCAGGUUGGGUGGAGAAGAAACACCCAUUCUCUCCUCCCCUCGGCUCCUGGCACUUGCCGGUCAGGUGCUCUCCAUUCACCAGAAGCCAGCCCACAGUGCUCCCCCGAUGUGGGAGGUCAGCCAAGAGAGCAGCCGGAGAGGGAUGCUGGGGGGCAGGAGCUUGGGAUCCAGGUGAGGGGGUAUCCUGAGCAGUGCCCGACACAGCUGCCGUUGUGAGCCAGGAGAAGCUGAGCUGUGAGAAUAAAUUCUUUCAUCCAAAGUGCUUUUGUUUUCAUUUGGCCUCAUGGAAUUCAUAGGGAAGGUGUCUCAGGCACAGAAUCCCCUCUGCGCAGUGCUACCUUCUUGGUGCAGACAGUGUGAUUAGGCAAGACCAAAGGGCUGCCCUCAUGAAUGGGUGGAAGACACGGGAAUCUGUGUAGGGGUUGUGUAGAAACACCCAGGGAUCCCUCAGUGGGGAUUUCAUCUGUGGUGUCUUGCCUUUUAAAGGAUUGGGGUCCUCCUUAGAACUGGGGGAGGGAUGGGGAUGCCUGGGACAGUUGAGUUGGCCUUCUGCAAAAUGGGGGACUCCUCAGGGGAGCCGAGUGCCUGUGCAGCAGUGGGAAGUGGGGGUUGGACGUUUGGCACCACUUGAAAGAGUGACUGAGGAGAGAUGUACUUUGGCAGGAAAGGGGAGAACCGGAAUGCAAGUUGUGAGAUGCUAUGAGGAAGGAACAGAAGGUAUUAAAGACUGAGAUAGUGGUGCCGAGAGAUGUAGUUAUGGCACGGGAAUGGGCCAUGGGAGAAUGCAGGUCGUGAUAGGCCAUGAGGGAGGGAAGAACGGUUUGCAGACUUCAGCCCCAUAACUGGUAGACGAGACAUCAGGGGAAGAGCAGCUCGGGAAGGGUGAGGAUGUGGGGCCAAGGGCAUAGGCGCUGCUGGUGCUGCUGGGACUGGAGUCACUGCUGGAGGCACCAGCCCCUCCCCGGUGAGAGCCUGCAUGGUGGUUUUAAAGGAAGUAAUGGAACAACAGUGGGUCCCUGUAAGCCCAGGGAGGAAAUCCCAGGACAAAUACCUCUAAAAACCAAAAUCAGUCAAAGGGAGAAAUAAAGUUUAAAACCCAUUUAUUGCUUACAAACUGCAGUCCAGGGCCGGCUCCCCUGGCUCCUGAGGAAGCAAGCCAGCCCCUCCCUUUAAACUCUUAGGUUCAGACAUGCCCUUGGUUGCCCUGGUAAUUACCCAUUGCCAUGGAGAUGAGCUCCUCUCCAGCCCGAGGAUAUGCAAAUGCACUAAAGCCAGGCGAGAUGUUCUGGAUAUGUUACAGUUUUACCCACAGUACCUCAGGGAGAGAUGCAGCCCCUCCCCAGGCUGUGGGGCACUCCAUGCUCUGCCCCUAUAUCCAUGCUGAACUGGCGGACUUGAGCUCCCCGAUGUCUGCAGGAUGCUGCCUUUUGUGCCUUUGGGACUCAGGAGUAGAUGGAAUUACUCCAUCUGGGUGAGAAGCGGGGAAGCCGGCUUCCCUGAUGACUCAUGCCUCCAUCUGACAGAGAUUGCCCGGUGCUGCUCAGACCCCAGGGAGCCACAGCAUUCUCAGUGGGAAGACUGCAGCUCUCCGGGCCCCGUGGCGUAAUCAGGGCGAUUUGCUGUCUCCCUCUAGGUGGGAGAUGUUUGCUGAACUCCUACAGGUGUUACAGGAAUUGGGCUUGAAGAACAUCCUUAAAACACGGAGCAUCAGGGUCCAGAUGAGGAGUUGCUCACCAUGGGAAUGAGAGUCUGGCGCUACGAACAGCUCCCCCUCCCUCUCUGGGUCCCUAGUGGCUGUUCUUUCUUGCCCCUCACUUAGGGCAGCGCAUAAAUGAGGUCACUGGCACUGCAGCAGAUCCGGGAGAGGCUGAGACAAUGAGAGCAUGGAAGGAACUGUGGUCUGCUAUGCAGAGAAAGGUUUAACAGGUGCUGUGAAAUUUCAAGGAUCCAGAUGUGGCUUGAAUUUGAUAAAGGGGACAAUAAAUGAGGGAUUAGAAGGGCAUCCAGUAAAUUCUUGCUAGAUCUUUGGCAACAAAGCCAGAGCAGCAUUUCCCGCUACUGAGACCCAAGACAUGGGAGGUGGAGGCAGAGCCGCGUCUGGCCUGUGGGACUGCAGGGCUUCCUGGGGGGGAGUGCUCCAACCCCACGUGCACCCACACAGGGAGAUGUUUGGGCAUUGCAGUUUGGGGCGGGAUGUGUUGGGCACCAGAGGCCACAUAUUGAGUUAACAAUUCAUCAGUUCCCAGUGAAUGUGCAACGUGUCCCGGCACCUGUGGACACAGGAGCUGGAUCUUCUCUGCCUUUGGCAACCCUGAGCGGUUUCCUGGGGCCCCUGCUGUGACAGAUGGCUACAGGGAAAAGGCAAUUAGAGUGAAGAGAGCCCAAAUCCCAUUGGGAAUAGGCAUCUGCCCCCAGCGGAGUGUCCUAUAUAUAUCUCCCAUAUCUGAAUAUAUUUUGGGGUGGCUAUCCUGCAAAGCCUGUAGUUACAGACCACUGCAGGUGAGUUCAGACUUAGAAUAUGUGUGAUAAAGGCAGUUCUGAGGGGACAUUCUAAACACCUGCCUAUAGUUUUGCCUGUGCCUCAGUGGGUGACAAAUACUAAGGAAUCUAAAUUGCCUGGGGCAUAAAUAAAUUGAAGAAAGUCUUCAAGAGCUGGAGAAGGUGGGCAUUAUAAAGCCCACUCAUAGUUCUUUUAACUCCCUGGCAUGGCCAAUGAAAAAGCAGGACAGCUCCUGGCAUAUGAAUAUGGGUUACAGGGAAUUGACUAAAGCCACACCCCCUUUGCACGCUGCUGUUCCCUCUAUAGUAGACCUUAUGGACACCCUCAGUCAUGAACAACGGAUGUACCAGUAUGCUGCGGACCUUGGUAAUGCCUUCCUUUUUAUCGACAUGGCACAGGAAAGUCAGGAACAGUUUGCCUUCACAUUGGAAGGCUGGCAGUGGACAUUCACUGUCCUUCCGUGGGGAUACCUCCACAGUCCCACCAUCUGUUGUGGACUUGCAGCCCAGGCCUUGGCCAUGUGGAAGAAACCGCAAGCAGUGUGGCUGUGUCACUACACUGAUGAGAUGCUCACAUCUGAUUCUCUUGCAUACUUAGCAGGGGCAGCUCCUAGGCUGCUGCAGCUCCUACAGGAGAAAGGAUGGGCUGUGGACAGCACCCAGGUUCAGGGACCUGGUUUCUCUGUAAAGUUCUUGGGGUUGUCUGGUCGGGUAAGACUAGAGGUGUCCCAGAAGCAGUCAUAGACGAGGUCCAGGCUCUCCCCACCUCUACCACUGUGGCAGCAUUACCAGAGGUCUUUGAGUCUUUUGGGCUACUGGUGUGUUUAUACCACACUUGGCACAAAUUCUGAGGUACUUGCACUGGUAUAAAAUGGCAUCAGGUGGACGGGUUGAGACAUGCAUCUGCCUUUGCCCUUGCUAAGCAGGUAGUCAAGGCCAUGCUGUCCUUGAGGGUAAUGGACCCAUCAAGGCCCUGUGAGCUGGAUGUUAUGUAAGUGAAUUUGGUUUUAGGCAGAGCCUCUGGCAGUGUCUUAAACCAUCCCAACAACCUGUUGGAUACUGGUUACAACUCUGGAAAGGAGCAGAGAUCCAGUAUCUUGAUAGAGAAGUGAUUGGCUUCUGUGUACUGUACCUUGCUGGCUAUGAAGCUCAUCUCCGGGGCAGCCCUGACAAAGAUAAUAAUAACCACCUACCCCAUUGUGGGAUGGGUAUGAGACUGGACCCAGAGGCCUCAGAGUGGUGUGGCACGGAUGUGUAAACAGUCCAAAUGUGCACAUACCUACAGCAGCAUAGUGCCCUCUCUUCUGGAUCCUUGAGUGGAGAACUCCAAUGCUGAUUGGGGCCAGUGACAUUUACCAGUGAAAACCAGGAAGAAUUUACUUUACAGCCAUUAGUAGCAGAGAGCCCUUAUCCGGAGGGAAGAGUCCCUGUACCCGAAGAUACAUGGUAUGCACAUGAGUCCAGCCAUGGGCAGCCCACAAAGUGGGGGCCUGUGAUUUCCCAUCCUAAGAUGGAGACAAUGUGGAUGGAGGGUGGGGAAGAGCAGAGUUGCAGGCAGUGUGGCUCAGUGAUCCCCCAGGAGCCCUCCCCCGUAGCUGUCUGCACUGACAGCUGGGCCGGCUAUCAGGGCUUGACCCCGUGGCUACCGGCAUGGUACCGUGGCAGCCGGAUUGUUAGUCACCAGCCCCUUUAGGGGCAGGAGUUUUGACAAGACUUAUGGGCCUUUCAUCGGACUAAAACAGUUACCAUACAUCAUGUGACAGUCCAUUUGCCUUUGGCCUUCCCAGGGAAUGAUAAAGCAGACACACUGGCCUAGGUGGGUUGCCUAGAAGGAAACCCUGCCUCUGAUGUGGUCCAAUGGUUAUAUCAUCAUUUCUUGCAUGUGUGGCAAAAGGCAAUGUGGGCUGUAGCCCACCCUUGGGGCCUGCCUUUGACCUUUGAAUAAGUCAGCAGAGCCCGGAAGGAGUGCCUUGUGUGCUCUAAGAGGGAUUUAUACGGAGUUCCACAGCAACAUGGGAAAAUAGUUCAGGGGCUGAUAACCCUUGUCAGGUGGCAGGUAGACUGUAAGGCGCCUGUGUCUCUCUCAGAAGGGUAUCAGCAUUCCAUGGAUUGUGUGGUCGCAGCUGCUGGACUGUUGCUUGCUCUGCCUACAUGUUGUAAAGAUCAGCAAACAAACAAAAGGGGCCUAGUGCGUCUCCUUGAAACCUGUGUCCAGCUUCAGGUGACUGAGUGUGCUGAAGGCACCAACUUUACUGGACGUGGAUUAAAAGGAUGGCUGCAAUAAUCAGGUGCAAGGUGGAAGCUUCAUGUGUCAUAUAACCAUGCUGGGACAGGCAUGAAAUAGAGGUACACUGGUCAUUAAAAUCUGGCUUGAUGUCAGACAGCAAUAGUUUAUGGGCUGUUCAGUCCACUUGUGGACAGUGUUGCUGUGUUCGAACGAGAAGUCCCAGAAGCCAGCAUUGAGCCCAGUGGACAUGCCAGCACACAUUGCUACCCCCCUGUAUAACUGCAUGUACAAAUGAAGGUGCAGUUGUUGAAGCCAGGGUUUGGCCACCAGAAUAACAUCCUGAUAUCAGCACCAACUGCACUAAAUCCUGGAGACUCCAUUGAGUGAAUGUGGCCUUCGGCUUUUUGACAAAGAGACCGGUGAUAGCUGGCCCUUCUCACAUCGCACGGACAUGGCCAGGAAGCUAGCGUUUGUGUUUCUGGAUUGAAAGCAGAAUGAACCCCCAAAAUAAUGGCAGUGUACCCCAAACAUCUGAAAGUUAAUCUCGUCUGCAGUCCUUGUGGAUUGGGCCUGCCCCCAGCCAGAGCUGCUGCUUGCUGCGUGGGCCUGGAGAUCCCUGCCGUUCCAGCUACUGGCCUCCUGUGGAGUGUGUGAGAUACGGACUCAGUCUGAAUAGGACUUUGAACUCAGCUGGGUCCUCAAAGCUUGAGGAUUGACAUGGUUUUCUUGGAAUGUUGCUGUGGUGGAAUCUGGUUGGCAUGCUUUAGCCAACCAGGCUAGAUUGUGGCACAUAGGAAGAUUGUGGGCACAUAGACUGUGAGGCAAGAACCCUGGAGGGGUUGAUUCUGGGAAAUAUGGAACAUCUGACCAGAAUACAUGCCUGGCCUUAAUAGCACCCAUUGUGUGUGUGUGUGUGUAGAAUAAGAGCAUGUUUGCAUAUUAUGGGAUGUUUCCCAGGGACAGAGCAGCUGGUCAGUCAUGGGAUUGCCAGGCCAAGUUAGGGGUGGAGGGUGUUCUCCACCCCUUCCCAGUCUCGGGGCGGGGCCCAGUCCUCCAGGAGGUAAGCCAUGUGGGCCCACAUGUCCACUGGGGGUCACUCAAAUGUCUCCCAUCUGUAGGAGCAGCCGCUGAGACACUCCUUCCACGAGGGCAGCCUGUUCUGCUCCUUGGUCACCGAUGAAUCCUGCCAACGUCGCCAACUGUCGCCGCUCAGAGCGAGUCUGCACGCAGCAAGCCGCUCUCUGCCUCUGGGCCUCUCUGCCCUCUGAGCCGUCUCAUGGCAGAGAACACAUGAUCCUAAUUAUGGGAUAGGGCCUGUAUCUGUACCCAGAAAGUCUUACAGCCAUGCUACUUGAGAUGGAAUCUGAAGUGGCUAUGAAACAAUGGACAACUGUUUUAGCUCCUGAAGCCCAGGAAACAUAUUCAUUGAAAACUUCUGCUCUUCCCUGUUUAUGGGAGGUAAUAGAAGGAACCAUUGAGUUACACCAUUGCUCUCUAACACCACUGGUUCCUAAGUUAAAUCAACAAAAGGCCCAUCAAGUAGUAUGGCUAGUGGGAAGAGGUGCCAUGCAUGCAAACAACCACAUACUUCCAAGGGGACAUGAUGGACCCUCUUUACAAAAAAAUGACACCUCACUUAGAUGGGAGCCCAUCUCAGACCUAAAUUGUGAACAGCGCAAGGGAAUUUGGUUAUGCCCCCAAAAAUAUUGGGUUCUAGAGAUAAUUACAACUUGGCCCAAGGCAAAAACAAUGUAUGACAUAUGGGAAGGGGAUGGUUUUCUUGGGAAGGAAUUGGAAAAUCAAACUGUCCAUCUACCCGACCACUACUGUGGACAAGCUGAACUUAUGUAACAACCGAUACACGGUGCAGUACAGAAGUUACAGGAAAAUAUACUUGCCUGAGGUCAGUAGAACUUGUGAAAUUCCUGAUAUGGAUGACUGUGCUUUUGGGGAGCUUGAAUUAAGACCCUCAGCCAAGGUCAAAAUAAUGGAAGAUGACUGGCUGGAGGAGAAACUGGCCAUAGCCUCUCAAGAACUAAAGGAAGCCUUACAACAAGCUGGGAAAACUUUUCACAGAGUAUAGGUGGCUGCAGAUGAAGGGGAAAAAGAAUAGUUAAAUAGAUAAAAGAAUAUGAUGUUUGUUCAGUCUCUA